AGAGUUUUAAAUUACAGUUCAUAAUGCAAAGGAUUGAAUAACUCUUGACAUAACUGGAUACAUCACUCUAUUGUUUUGUUCACAUCAUAUUUCUACUACAGCUCAGCUCCUUAACCAACGCCAUAGUUGUACUCCUUCACCAUCAUUGUUCGACGUGGUCUAUAUCAGUACUUCCCAAUCUGGGGUCUACAUACUUUGAGGGUCCAGUGUUCAGUCUUUUAAAAGAUUGCACUGUGAAAUGUAUUUGCAUUUAUAAUUAUAUUUGUUCAUUUACAUAUACUUUUCAAGCGAGGUAUCAAACCAGGAAAACAAAUUUGUUAGCUGAUAAAAGUAGCUUACACAGCUUUCAGGCUUUUCAAAAUCCAUGGUUAAAGAGAAAGAUAAAAAGGAUCCUUUAAUAGUGAAAAAGUUUGCAGAGUUGCAUUCAAUAACCAACAUCCUAGUUUUCCUCCUUAAGCAGCAUCAUACUUACACUCAUUAUUUUACAUUUUAGGUAACUCCCUUUCUUACAUCAUUGUUAUACUUCUUACUCUACUUUACUUUUUCAUUUCUUAGUACACAUCAAACUAGCCUACAUCAUGGUUAUAUACUCCUUAAUCUACAUCAUAUUUCUUCCACUAAUAUCAUACUCAGAAUCAUAAAUAUACUCCUUAACCAACAUUAAACUACUUGGUCUGAAUCAGUUAUACACCUUAGCCAACAUUUUGCUUACUAUAUUCUGUAACCUCUUUAAUAACACGCUUCAGUCUCUAUCAGUAAUAAUUAACUUCCAUUAUGGUUUAUACUUAGCUUACAUCAUGGUUCUACUUUGACCCUACAUCAAUUAUAGUUAUUUUUUAACCCACAUUGUAAGCAGGUUUUCUUGAUAAAAAUGUCAUUUAAUUAACUAAAUAUCUACCUCAAUUUGUUAAAUUUAACUCAUUAUCUCAGUGCCAGUUGUACCUUUUUAUGUUUAAAAAAAAAAAAAAGGGGGAAAAAAAAGUUUCUUGGGAUAUGACCCUAUCCCUGUCUAUGCCCUCUUUCGGUGUCUUAAUGUUCAGCUUGCAAUUUUGCUGGUCACUGACAAGUAGUGUAGGGCAAUGAAGGUCUACAUUCAGGGAAGCAAUUUCAGAAUGGUACUGUUUGGGGCUCUGGAAGUGAGCGGGUGAGUAACAUAGGAUAAUGGUUGUGUUGGUUUAGAUGAGGAUGAGAUGUAAUAGGAUUAAGUUUGGUGAAGGGACUCGUGGUAGAGGUGACACAUACAAAUAAAGAAUAACCUGUAUCAAUUCCAAUAUCUAUAAUGUAUAAAAUGUAUUCCCUUUUCUCGUGGAUUGGAACACAGGCCAUAAAUUAGAUUGUUUUUAUUUUAAUGGAAUUUUUAUUUAAUCCUUUUAUUAACAAACUUCUGUUGUAAUAAGUUUGUGUUUAAAACAUUAACUACCAUGGAAUUUUAAUGAAAGGUUUUUAGAUCACUUUAACAAGUUCCAUAGAACCAGGGGCAGUUUCAGGCAAGUUAUUAAUCAAAAGGUUUAAGUAGUUUAUUUUCAGUUAUUUAUUAAAAAAGGAUUUUUGUUUCCUCACAUACACAUAAAACCACUAAAGAGAUAAAGCAUAGAUUUUUCACUGAAUGGCUACUUAUAAAGCAUUUAACUGGCAAUACUUAUUCAUUUUAACAUUAGCACUUGCUAUAAAUUUGGUAAUUUAAUUUAUUGGGGUUUCUCAAAACCACAUCUCCUAACACCUGUUUAUGUAAAGAUCUUUUAGUAAUUUUAAAUUUACUUGGUGGUGGUGAUGAUGGUGAGACCCAGUUUCUUUUCUUUAAUUGAUGUCUUUCCCCUAUUUUAGCAAUAUUAAUAUAGUAAAUUUAUAAAUCUUAACAAUUUUCUUGCACUUGUAAUCUUUUUCUACACAUUCUCUUCUCAUUAUAUCAUUAUCACACACACACAAUCACAAACUGGUGUACUGAACCACACAUUCAUAGUUUGUGGCUGGUGUUUUAAACCAUAUUCAUAAUAUUUUAAGAAAUUUUUCUAAUAGCUAUAAAUAUUAGCUUUUCUCUAAGUUUCACAUGGGUUUGAACUAUUGGUUGACAUCUAGUGGAGAUCAAAUUGGCAGUGGUUGUUUAUUUUUAUUAUAACUUUGAAUAUUAAUGAUUCACUUAAAAAUAAAAUCUGUUGAAACAAAAUAUCUUCCUCUCCCUUAAACUUUGUGUAUUACUCAAAGAAUAAUUAGAGAUACACAUGGAUUCACGCCAGGACAGUUUUACCUGUCAUGUUGUUGAUGUUAAAACCAUUAAUCAGUUCAAACUGAAUUGCAAUAAACUAGCAUUUUUAGACUUUCCAUGUGGAGUUUCGUUUGCAAUGAAAUUCUGUUUGGUCAGAUUCUUCACAAAUCAUAGGGUAUCUUAUCAAUCAUCAGUCAUCAUAUAGCAUCUGACUUCAUUCAUUAACAAGGUAUUCAUUUAGGUUUGUUUUGUAGAUAUUUAAAAAAAAAAAAAUUUUUUUUUCUUUUUAAAAGUGGAUCUAGAGCAACCAUUUUGUAUAUGAUGGGACUCUGGAAUGACAAAUACAACUUUUUUUUUACAUCUUUUUUCUUUUUUUGCGUUUUGCUAUCAUUUCUCUCUUUUUUUAAUAUGUUUAUUCAUGUAAAAACUUAAUGGUUCCCAAUCUCUAAGUCUUUCACACCUCAUUCAGUCCCAUCAUACAACAGAAAUAUCAAACCUCCUCCCUAUACAGUGUUAAGG